rnacentral:rRNA from 1 species
UACUCGAGUGGCGAACGGGUGAGUAACACGUGGGUGAUCUGCCUUGCACUUCGGGAUAAGCCUGGGAAACUGGGUCUAAUACCGGAUAGGACCAUGCUUUAGUGUGUGUGGUGGAAAGUUUUUUCGGUGCAGAUGAGCCCGCGGCCUAUCAGCUUGUCGGUGGGGUAAUGGCCUACCAAGGCGACGACGGGUAGCCGGCCUGAGAGGGUGUACGGCCACAUUGGGACUGAGACACGGCCCAG